CCUUUGUACACACCGCCCGUCGCUACUACCGAUUGAAUGGCUCAGUGAGGCUUUCGGACUGGCCCAGAGGAGUCGGCAACGACACCUCAGGGCCGGAAAGUUAUCCAAACUCGGUCAUUUAGAGG
rnacentral:rRNA from 1 species